GAGAAUGGGUUUAGAAACAUUUAUUUGGCAUGUAUGUUUGGUUAACAGGAGGUUUGUAAUCUCUUCUCUUCUCAUCGAGUCCAUGCACACACAAAAAAACAAAAUGGUCUUGUGGCUUUCUGAUCGAUCGAUGAAGGGCAAGAACCAACAACAAAACAACAAGACGGUGGUGGACGUUACUUACAACCAUAAGAGGUGGCUGAUGGCGGUGGCACACGGUGGCCAAGGCUGGCCCAAACACCUGGGAGAGUGGGGCAAAGGCCCAGGGCAGCAAGCUGGGAAGUGGCAUCAUGUUAGGCCUGGUACUUUUAGCAUGUAUAAAAUUUAGCCCAAACUUAAAUGUGGCCCAAAGCUCUCAAAUUCCUUAAUCAGUUCAACCACAUAGGGUGGGCGCUAGACUUGAGAGACGGAUGCACGCCAGCCACUCUUGCACAAUAAACGAGAAUCACUUCGAUUCUUGAGCAUCGAUUGAUUUCACUACAGAUGCAUCACAUAUAGUGGUUUGGUGGAGUAGAGAAGAUGUUAAGACUCAAGACGUCAAGACUCAAGACGAGACUCAUGGCUGCUUCUAAUAUCUAGGAUCCAGUAUUUAAGAUAAGAAAAAAAAAUAGAAAAAUCAAUAUCCCAUCCUCUUUUUCCUUUGAUUUAUUUUUAUAUGUUAUCUAAUUUGAUUUCCUACGUGCAGUCUUGCUAAUUAAUUGAUUUCUGGAGACUUGAUUGUCGGAGAGAUUCUUUGGAGACUUGAGAAGCAGGGAUGGAAUUUUUUGUAAGAUUGUGGACCGGAGCAAUGAUGAAACCAAAGAAAACAAAAGAGAAUCAUGAAAAAGGAAUAACAUUGAGUGUUGUUGAUGCUAUUUGGAAAUGAGAAAGGGCAUCUAGUUUUUCAAGGUCAAUUAAAAUGCAACAUGGCACAUGUGAUUAAUUUUAUGUUUUUAAACGAAGUAUAUUUUUGUUAAGGGACUCAAGGCUUAUUUAUUUAUUUAUUUAUUUUGAAUAGUAGUUUAAUGUUAACAGUCAAAAGAAUAUAACAUACUCAGAUUCGAUUUUGAUAAGUGUUAUAAGCAAAAGUAGUUGUUUUGA